rnacentral:rRNA from 1 species
AACGAACGCUGGCGGCAGGCUUAACACAUGCAAGUCGAGCGCGCCGCAAGGGGAGCGGCAGACGGGUGAGUAACGCGUGGGAACGUACCCUUUGCUACGGAAUAGCUCCGGGAAACUGGAAUUAAUACCGUAUGUGCCCUACGGGGAAAAGAUUUAUCGGCAAAGGAUCGGCCCGCGUUGGAUUAGCUAGUUGGUGGGGUAAUGGCCUACCAAGGCGACGAUCCAUAGCUGGUCUGAGAGGAUGAUCAGCCACAUUGGGACUGAGACACGGCCCAAACUCCUACGGGAGGCAGCAGUGGGGAAUAUUGGACAAUGGGCGCAAGCCUGAUCCAGCCAUGCCGCGUGAGUGAUGAAGGCCUUAGGGUUGUAAAGCUCUUUCACCGGAGAAGAUAAUGACGGUAUCCGGAGAAGAAGCCCCGGCUAACUUCGUGCCAGCCGCCGCAGUAAAAC